UUACGUGGGGCACCCCAAAAUGCAUGAAGGUGGUUUUCUCAGGUUGAGGCUCACCCAUUGCACUUCAGGUAUGCUGAUCCCUAUGAUUUCCCCAAAUGUGGGAAACUUGACUGCAUAAUUUGUUGUGGGAGGGGGCAGGAGGCACAGGGGCCACUCCAG
rnacentral:snRNA from 1 species